rnacentral:rRNA from 1 species
AUUGAACGCUGGCGGCAUGCCUUACACAUGCAAGUCGAACGGUAACAGGUCUUCGGAUGCUGACGAGUGGCGAACGGGUGAGUAAUACAUCGGAACGUGCCCAGACGUGGGGGAUAACGAGGCGAAAGCUUUGCUAAUACCGCAUACGAUCUAAGGAUGAAAGCAGGGGACCGCAAGGCCUUGCGCGUUUGGAGCGGCCGAUGGCAGAUUAGGUAGUUGGUGGGAUAAAAGCUUACCAAGCCGACGAUCUGUAGCUGGUCUGAGAGGACGACCAGCCGCACUGGGACUGAGACACGGCCCAGACUCCUACGGGAGGCAGCAGUGGGGAAUUUUGGACAAUGGGCGAAAGCCUGAUCCAGCAAUGCCGCGUGCAGGAUGAAGGCCUUCGGGUUGUAAACUGCUUUUGUACGGAACGAAAAGGCUCUGGCUAAUACCUGGGGCACAUGACGGUACCGUAAGAAUAAGCACCGGCUAACUACGUG